rnacentral:tRNA from 1 species
GAUUCCUUAGCUCAGUUGGUAGAGCACCAGACUUUUAAUCUGUUGUGGUCCUCGGUUCGAGUCCGAGAGGAAUCA